rnacentral:rRNA from 1 species
AUGGAGUGCGCUCGCCGGGAGGAUGGACGGCGCGGAGAGGCGCGCUCGCGCCUGAGCUCCUGUGCCCGCGCCUCGCGCCUCCUUGCACCGCUCCGGCGGCCUCACUCGCCACACGCCGUCGCCGGCGACCACAAGCAGCGACCGUCGCACCUCUCCGCGCGCCACCCCGAAGCCCCAGGAACGCCGCGCCGCCGCGCCACCGUCCCCCGCAACCCCGGCCUCCUCCUUGACCUCGCCUCUCCGUGCGAACAAACGGCGUCGCCGGCGGCGGCCUCGGCCACCAUGCUUGAGCUGACGGGCGCCGACCGCACAGGGCUCAUCUCCGAGGUGUUCGACGUGCUAGACGACAUGAGCUGCAGCGUCGUCGAUGCCAGGGCGUGGUCGCAUCGCGGCCGCCUCGCCUGCCUCGUCUACCUGCGGGACGAGGAUGUUGCCGCAGCCGGUGUGGAGCACAUCAAGGCCCGCCUCGCCCCCCUCCUCCGCGGAGACUCGGAAGCCAGCGGCGGCACCGUGGCUGCCGUCCCCGCCGGCUCCAUCCCGCACGCCGACCGGCGCCUCCACCAUCUCAUGUAUGCCAGCGGCGACCAGGAGCGCGCGUUCCCAACUCCCUCGGUGCGUGCUCAUGGAUCUCGAGCCCGACACCAUGGGCUCCGUGCACACGGGGCCCUACGGCCAGAUCUUCCGCCCCGACAACUUUGUCUUCGGCCAGUCCGGCGCCGGCAACAACUGGGCCAAGGGCCACUACACCGAGGGCGGGGAGCUCAUCGACUCCGUCCUCGACGUCGUCCGCGAGGAGGCCGAGAACUGCGCUGCCUCCAAGGCUUCCAGGUGUGCCACUCCCUCGGCGGGGGCACCGGUUCCAAGAUCAGGGAGGAGUACCCGGGCCGGAUGAUGCUCACCUUCUCCGUGUUCCCAUCUCCAAAGGUCUCUGACACGGUGGUCGAGCCCUACAACGUCACUCUCUCGGUUCACCAGCUGGUGGAGAACGCCGACGAGUGCAUGGUGCUGGACAACAAGGCGCUUUAA